AAGAAGUCAGGCCGGAUUAAGCCAUAGCACGGUAAGAGCUAUGCUGCCUGUGAGCCCCGUCUAAGGACGUAAAAUGAAGUCAGGCCGAAAGCCACGGUUUGAGCAAGCCGUGCUGCCUGUAGCUCCAUCGUGGGGAUGUGAAAACCUGGGAGGCUGCAAACCAUGGAAGCUGUACGCAUGGGGUAGCAGACUAGUGGUUAGAGGAGACCCCUCCCAAAACACAACGCAGCAGCGGGGCCCAACACCUGGGAAAGCUGUACCCUGGUGGUAAGGACUAGAGGUUAGAGG
rnacentral:lncRNA from 1 species